AUAUUUUCUUCCUUUCUUUUUCCCCUUUCUUUUCUAUUAAAAGUUUGUCCUGUUCAAAAGGGAGGAAAGUCGGGAAAGACCUUAAAGUGUAGGAACUUGAAACCAAUG
rnacentral:ribozyme from 17 species